rnacentral:lncRNA from 1 species
AUGGUCCUACUCCUGUUCUGGAACGCAAGUCAGUCUGGGAGUCACUGCCGGAAAGUUCUUCCCAUGCGCUGGUCUAGGGAGUUGUGGUCCCAAGGAGAGAUCAGGUUCUCAGCCCCAAAAACCCGAUCGGAUCAUCCUUCUCAGGAACCUGAAGGAGCCGGAGGCGGGCCCACCCUUCACCAUCAGUGGCCACCUCAGCAGUUCAGAUGGCGGCUACGUGAAGUUCUCCGACAGGCUAGUCUGAUGGGGGAGUGUCAGCCUCUGGAGCCCUGGAGAGGGUCCUCUGACGUGCUCCCUGUCCCCUCUGCCUCCUCCUUGUUUUCCUGACUUCCGCAGUCCUCUGGGCUAACACAGCUUUAGCCUUGACCCCGGGCCUCACCCAAGGAUUUGACCUGAAUUUUUUGAGAGCCCUGAAGUGGCGGCUUCCAGCGUAUUCAGGAACGAUUAGGGAACAGAUGCCUGGGAACCUGGCUCCUGGUCCGGGUGGGCUGGGCACUCAGACCCAUGGCCCUGCCGGGGCCUCCCCCACAGCCUCCUCUUCCUCUUCCUCUUGACGAUCCUUUCUGCCAGCCCCAAGAGCCAGGAUGCAGUCAGGGGAGCCAGCAGUUCUAUGGGCUGGCCAUUCCCGGUCCCUCUGCCACCCUGUUCCUCUUUAGUGCCUUUGCCAGGGCUUCCGGAAAUGUCUUCUCCCUCCCUCCUAGCCACAGCUAGUCUCCAGGGUUGCCUCAAGCGUCCUCUUCCCUGUGGCUUCCUUCAGGAUUCCCGGCUCAUUGUCGCCCGUUAGAUCCUGAUGGGAGGUGGCCAUGUGUCCUCCAUUCGUCUGUUCCCCAACCAGGGUGAGCCCUUUGUGGGCAGGGUUAUUGUCCCAUAGGUCUUUAGUAACUGCCAGGAAUAGGCCACGUAGGAAGUGCUCCAAGCGUGGAAGAGCCCCAGCGUGGCUCCGGAGGGCUGCCUUGUCCUAGAGAAAGACGCCCAGUGGCCGGAAGAGCCGCACUGCUUGCACAGCACAAUGUGCAGAGAACAAAUUAUCUUCACGCGCGUCGCUGCGACUUAACCCCCGUGGCAGCCUUGUGACGUGGGGAGUUAGUAGUGGCCGCAUAUUGCCUCUGGUGACACUGAGGCUCAGAGAGCUAGCCUGCCUUACCUGAGGCUGCACAGCUGCUGACUGUCCCGGAGCCUGAGUAGAGUUUGAGGCCUCACAGAUGGAGCCUGACCCACAGGCUUAGUGGGCUGACGAAUGAACACUGUCGAACAGGGUCCAGCCCUGGCCUGCCCUGCCGUGCUGGGUGGGGCCACGGGCUCGUCACUUCACCGUGGAUCUGUGUCUCUGCGUCUGGAAAUCGAGGGAUCGGACUGUUUCUCUAAGGCUCUGCUCUCUUACCUGAAGGAGCAAAAGGAUCGUCUCUUUUUGUUGUUGCUUUUCUCUCUGUGUUGUGUCUAGCGUGAGACCUGGCACAUAGUAGGUGUUCAAUAAACAAAAGAUGCAAAUACA